CACGUAGGGCGCGAGCGUUGUCCGGAAUUAUUGGGCGUAAAGAGCUCGUAGGCGGCCUGUUGCGUCCGCUGUGAAAGCCCGGGGCUUAACCCCGGGUCUGCAGUGGAUACGGGCAGGCUAGAGGUAGGUAGGGGAGACUGGAAUUCCUGGUGUAGCGGUGAAAUGACGCAGAUAUCAGGAGGAACACCGGUGGCGAAAGCGGCUCACUGGACCACAACUGACGCUGAGGCGCGAAAGCUAGGGGAGCAAACAGG
rnacentral:rRNA from 1 species